rnacentral:rRNA from 1 species
UACUAAUGCAACUGCGAAUAGCUGUUUAAUACAGUCGCAAUUGUAUUGACUUAGCAAUAUAUAGAUAACUUAAAUAUAAGUUACUUGGAUAACUAAGGGAAAGUUUGGCUAAUACGUUUAAAUGUAUUAUAAUAAAUACAUAUGCAUAUAAUAAUAUUGCAACAUGAUAGAUAUUAUAUAAAAAUAAGAUAUAUUUUAUUAUAUCUUAUAAGAGCAGACUUUAUAAUAUUUUAAUUAUAAAGCAUGUCAAACAAGCAUCUAUAGCAUCAAGUCACAAUGUUGGCAUGUGUAUUAUUGAACCUUCAAAGCAUUUACGCAUUCGGAGGAGUAGUUUCUGAUCCCGUCGAAGGUGCCUGAGAGACGGCACUUAGUUCUAAGGAACGCAGCAGGCGCGUAAAUUGCCCAAUGACAAAACAUGUUAUAAUAAACUUAAUUAAUAUAUAAUAAUUAAUUGAGGCAGUGACAAGCUGUAAAGAUUCAAUAUAUUAAUUAAGAUAACAUUUGGAAUUGUCCCUUUAUAAUAUAUUNUAUAUUAUUUUGGUUGAUAAUAUACCAAUGUUAUAAAAUAUUGAAUUUGAAUGCGGUGAAUAUAAUAAUUUCAAGUAACAUAUUUAUYAUAUUAUUUGAAUUUUCAAGUGGAGGGCAAGNNNNNNNNNNNNNNCCGCGGUAAUACCAGCUCCACUAGCUUAUACAAUCAUUGUUGCGGUUAAGAGGCUCGUAGUUGGAUUGAAUAAACUCUCAAUACUGUGAACAAACCAGAGUGUAUAAAACAUGUUAAUAUUAAUAUUAUUAGCAAUGAAUGUUUUAUCAUGGAAUAUUGCAUAUAAUAUUUUUGUCGAUGGAGGUAGUUGGAGUUAAGAGUACUGAUAGGCGAGCGGUGAAAUGCAUUGACCCUAUUAAGACUAACAAAAGCGAAAGCACUUAACUAGAUUAUUCUCUUUGUAUUUUUACAAUGAAGAGCGAAGGUUGGGGGAACAAAGAGGAUCAGAUACCCUCGUAGUCCUAUUUUUACAUCAAACUAUGGGAUUUCAAUUGAAUAUUAUACUCCUUCAACUAAUUAACAUUAUUUUAUAUAUGAUUGAGUAUUUAUUUUACUCUCAUAUUAAAUAUAUAUAUUGAUAUUUUGAUAAAAUAAAAUAUCAUUAUAUGUACUUUGCGCUCAUAUAAUUAUAUAGGUGAGAUGUAAGCAUUAUAGAUGAUUAAUAUGUAUAGUAUUUAUAUAUUAUUACAUUAUUAUGAAUCUUAUAUAAAAAUGUAAUGUGAUGCACGUUUUAGGUACGAGCUUACUAUAGAAAUAUUUAAAAUAAUACCCUCCUGGGGUAGUAUGCACGCAAGUGUGAAACUUGAAGGNNNNNNNNNAAGGGCACCACAAGAACGCGUGGAGCAUGUGGCUUAAUUUGACUCAACGCGGGAAAUCUUACCAGGUCCAGACAUAUUGAGGAUUGACAGGUGAUAGUAUAUACUUAUUAAGAGUAUAUGCAUAAAUAUGAUAGUCCUUUCAUGAUUAUAUGAUAGGUGGUGCAUGGCCGUUCUUAGUUCGUGGAGUGAUUUGUCUGCUUAAUUGCGUUUCAGUUAAAUAAAAUAUAUAAUAUAUAUAAUUUAUUGUUCUGCCUAUAUUUAUAUAGGAUUUAAAGUGAACAUAUUAUAAAUAUUAUUAUAUAAUAAAUGAAUGCAACGAACGUGACCGUAACCUUUUAUUGCUAUAAUUAUUAUUAAUAUAGCUUAAAAUUAAAGGGACCGCUGUCAUUAUUAUAUGUGUUAAAAUAGAGUAAGAUUACGGCAAUAACAGGUCUGUGAUGCCCUCAGAUGUUCUGGGCUGCACACGUGCUACAAUAAUUACAUUAAUAAGUAUAUUAUUAUAUGUAUUUAUUACAUUCAACCUAUUUCGAAAGUAAAUGGGUAAUCAUUUAAAAAUCGUGAUUAUUAUUUAUAAAUAUAUUUAAUUUAAGGUGGGGAUAGUGUAUUGUUAAUUAUUACACUUGGCCUUAACUAGGAAUGCCUUGUACUCUUCUUUGGUUUAACAUACCAAGAGGAAUACGUCCCUGCCCUUUGUACACACCGCCCGUCGCUCUUACCGAUGAAUUAUAUUAUAAAUCUAAGGGACAAUAAUUAAUAUAAUUUAUGAAACUUAUAUACAUAAUGUGAUUUAAAGGAAAGAGAAGUCGUAACAAGGCAUCAGUAGGUGAACCU